rnacentral:rRNA from 1 species
AGGAUUAACGCUGGCGGCGUGCAUGAAACAUGCAAGUCGAGCGCGGUGUGAUGCGGGGCAACCCAAUUCACAUCUAGCGGCGAACGGGUGAGUAACACGUGAGCAACCUACCUUUGAGUUGGGGAUAGCCCUGGGAAACCAGGAUUAAUACCCGAUGUGGUCACAACAGGACAUCCUGAUGUGAGUAAAGGCGUAAGCCGCUCAAUGACGGGCUCGCGGCCUAUUAGCUUGUUGGUGGGGUAACGGCCUACCAAGGCGAUGAUGGGUAGCUGGUCUGAGAGGACGAUCAGCCACACUGGGACUGAGACACGGCCCAGACUCCUACGGGAGGCAGCAGUUAGGAAUUUUCCGCAAUGGGCGAAAGCCUGACGGAGCAACGCCGCGUGAGUGAUGAAGACCUUCGGGUUGUAAAGCUCUGUCGGAGGGGAAGAACACAAUGACGGUACCCUCCGAACGAAAGCCCGGCUAACUACGUGCCAGCAGCCGCGGUAA